rnacentral:ncRNA from 1 species
GUCUGCGGCAGCCACGUGUUCACAGUGAUGUUGCUCUUUGCUCCUUUAAUGUUGGCUCUCCCUAUCAUUGUGGAGCAGAGUUCACCAAGCACUGGAUUGUUCGCCCACUAAUAGGGAAUGUGAGCUGGGUUUAGACCAUCGUGAGACAGGUU